rnacentral:rRNA from 1 species
UACGUAGGGUGCAAGCGUUAAUCGGAAUUACUGGGCGUAAAGCGUGCGCAGGCGGUUUUGUAAGUCUGUCGUGAAAUCCCCGGGCUCAACCUGGGAAUGGCGAUGGAGACUGCAAGGCUAGAAUCUGGCAGAGGGGGGUAGAAUUCCACGUGUAGCAGUGAAAUGCGUAGAGAUGUGGAGGAACACCGAUGGCGAAGGCAGCCCCCUGGGUCAAGAUUGACGCUCAUGCA